CUAAAUGCUGUGAGAUAACUCGGUGGCGCCCUGCAAGUUCAUAGCCGUUGUAUUGUAAUGCACAGUCACGAUCCUUCUCGCCACCUUCUCACUCAGCCUGUGUUCAACCCCACUGAAAUUAACUGGAUUUUGUACAUGGUGAUUUGUGAGAAUGGGGGAAAAAAAACCCCAAACCCCAUAAAGCUCAUCUGAGCUCCUCUAAUGAGGUGACCUGUGCAUUUGUAUGUUUGUGUGUACAUACAUACAUAGAUGAGCCUUUGUUCCAAGCGGAUUGACGUGCACAGAAUCAGGAUUGUUUAUGCACACCUUGCAUACCUCACAAGGAAGUAAUUAAAUUAAAAAGUUAUUCAGUAGUUGUGGACAGCAUGUAUAUGUAGACUGAAGCCAUCGAAGGUUUUCAGUUUCAGGGUAACCACACCUGUCUGCAAAUGCUGUCCCUAAUUUGUACUUGAUGAGAAGCUGAAAUCUACUGGAAAUGGAGUAUUUUAGCUCUAGUUUUGGUUAAUCUCAGCAGGUGGCAGCAUGUGGGACAGUAAUUUAAUCUCUUGGAUGUCAGAGAUACUUAACAUUUGGAAGCACAGAAAAUACCUCAGGAAGGCAGGAAACCAGUGCACACCAUUGCAGCUUAUGUUGGCUCUGCCUGUUGGAAUGCAAAAACUAGCACUAGGAUAUUUCUGUCUUCAUGACUUCAUGUUUUGCUGUCACCAAGCAUAGCUGGCAAGGCCUUGCAACAAGCUGCAAAAUCUUUCCCAGUUCUGAAAUGGCAGAGAACUCACAGCAUUCUGGUGCAGAGAAAGUGACCCUGUGUGAUGCUACACUGUGCCAUGGCUCUGCUCUCAUCACAUCCCCUAACACUGUGGUAUGUUAUGCUCCUUGUGUGACCUCAGGGGAUCCUGACACGCGACCUGACAGACGUCAUGUCAUGCACCAACCUCAUGUAAGAUGAGAGGUAUGAUGUUGCUCCAUCAUAAAGAGAUUAUGUGUCUCUGCAUUCGUCUUAAUCAUGUCAGUGGGUUCAGCAGCUUGUCUCCUUGCUGUUGAGAAUGUGAUAAGAGAUUGCUUACAAAGUGAAACAAUAGUGGGAAUAAAAGGUCAGACCUUGGAAAAGCUAGGAGGAUCAAAUUGUCAUGGUUCAAGGCACAGUUAUGGACUGAGGUGUCUAACCUUUUCUUAGCUUUUGGUCAGCGAUUGUACGUAGGUGAGGUGAAAAACCAAGAUUUUGUCCACCAGUUUUAGGCUGCUUUAAGGCAAGCAGUGCUCCAGUACCAUUCAAGUGAUAUUUUAUUUCAAUCCAUAAAGUGAAUGUAACUAGUGUGCCCAUAAGUAAAGACCAACAGUAUUCUGAAGUAUAAAAAAUGUCAA